rnacentral:rRNA from 1 species
CAAUAGCGUAUAUUUAAGUUGUUGCAGUUAAAAAGCUCGUAGUUGGAUUUCGGGUUGGCUUCAGCGGUCUCGCUUUGCGUUUGUACUGCCGCAGCCUUCCUUCUUGCUGGGGACGGUCCUCCGGGCUUCAUUGCUUGGGGUCUGGAAUCAGCGACGUUACUUUGAGUAAAUUAGAGUGUUCAAAGCAAGCCUACGCUCUGAAUAUAAUAGCAUGGGAUAACACGACAGGACUCUGGCCUAUCGUGUUGGUCUGUAGGACCAGGGUAAUGAUUAAGAGGGACAGUCGGGGGCAUUCGUAUUCCGUUGUCAGAGGUGAAAUUCUUGGAUUUACGGAAGACGAACAUCUGCGAAAGCAUUUGCCAAGGAUGUUUUCAUUGA